rfam:Cucumis melo, WGS project CAJI01000000 data, contig: 23096
AAGUUGUGCGGUGAGCACAGAGCGAACUAUUUUUUCGCCCUUUACUAAAGAAUAUCGUGUGUUUGCCACUCAAAGCGGCAUAUGCCUACUUUGGAGGGGUUUCUCUUUUGGGGGAAC